rnacentral:rRNA from 1 species
UACGUAGGAGGCAAGCGUUGUCCGGAAUUACUGGGCGUAAAGCGCGUGUAGGUGGUGGGACAAGUCUGCUGUGAAAGCGCCUGGCUUAACCGGGCGAGGUCGGCGGAAACUGUCCGACUCGAGGACGGUAGAGGGGGGUGGAAUUCCCGGUGUAGUGGUGAAAUGCGUAGAGAUCGGGAUGAACACCUGUGGCGAAGGCGGCCCCCUGGGCCGGCCCUGACACUGAGACGCGAAGGCGUGGGGAGCGAACGGG